UAUAUAUUGUAUGAUAAGGGUUAAUGUGUUAAUAAUCACCUAACCUAGACCUUGAAUAUACACCCCCUAACCUUCUAUAUCAUUGACCCAUAACCCAUAACCCUUCUAAAGGUGCAAUGCGAUUUAAUCCCAUUUCUCUGCAUGUCAAAGUGAAAAAAUUCAACCAAGCACGGGUAAAUGACGGGAGUAACUAUGACUAUCUUAAUGUAGUUGGAUGCCUUGUCAUCUAAUUAGUGACAUGCAUGAAUGGAUCAUUAAUGAGAUUCCCCACUGUCCCUAGCUACUAUACUAUAGAGAAACCACAUCCAAGGGAAUGGGAUUGGCAAAAUUAGCGGGGAAAGAAGAACCUCAUGUUGAGCUUGACUCUAGUCCUAACCCAUUCAUAGUUUGGGA
rnacentral:ncRNA from 1 species